CCAUGAUCGUGAUUUUUAUGCUCAUUCUUUUGAGGAACUAUUCGAUUUGGCCAACUCUGAUUCAACUUCUACGUCAAGAUUUAAAUUCUCCGUUACAGUUUUUGAGCUCUACAAUGAACAGAUAAGGGAUUUACUCCCAGAAUCAGGAGAUGUUCUACCAAAGAUUUGCAUUGGAUCACCGGAGUCCUUUGUAGAACUUGUGCAGGAAAAAGUUGAUAACUAGAAAAAGAAGUUCAGUAUUUGCAGCAAGCUUUCUCUAGUUGACUUGGCUGGAAGUGAAGGUUUAAUUGCUGAAGAUGACAGCAGUGAGCGUGUGACAGACUUGCUGCAUGUGAUGAAAUCACUUUCAGUGUAUGUUUGGAUGACUUAUAUCAUUUUUCUGAUAUUGAAAAGUUUUGGUUUCUAGCCUUUCAGGUUGCCUAUAAUUUUAAGGAUGGUUCACAUUGGUCUUAAACUUUUGAACAAUAUACGGUUUUCAUUUUGCAUGA